rnacentral:tRNA from 1 species
GGGAGUGUGACUCAGUGGUAGAGCACUUGCCUAGAAUGCACCAGGCCCUGGAUUUGAUCUCCAGCACCACUG